ACUCCUACGGGAGGCAGCAGUAGGGAAUAUUGGACAAUGGGCGAAAGCCUGAUCCAGCAAUGCCGCGUGAGUGAUGAAGGCCUAUGGGUCGUAAAGCUCUGUCGUAUAGGAAUAAAUGCCUGUGGUUAAUACCCGCAGGAGCUGAAGGUACUAUACAAGAAAGCACCGGCUAACUACGUGCCAGCAGCCGCGGUAAUACGUAGGGUGCUAGCGUUGUUCGGAAUUACUGGGCGUAAAGCGCAUGCAGGCGGCCUGUUAAGUCAGAUGUGAAAGCCCGGGGCUCAACCUCGGAAUUGCAUUUGAAACUGGCAAACUAGAGUACUGUAGAGGGGGGUAGAAUUUCAGGUGUAGCGGUGAAAUGCGUAGAGAUCUGAAGGAAUACCGGUGGCGAAGGCGGCCCCCUGGACAGAUACUGACACUCAGAUGCGAAAGCGUGGGGAGCAAACAGGAUUAGAUACCCUGGUAGGCGUAGU
rnacentral:rRNA from 1 species